rnacentral:rRNA from 1 species
AGACCGGUUUACUGGUCGUGCUUUUGUACGUACUGGUAUCAUUGGUUUCUCCUUUCUGACGAACCAUGAUGUCAUUAAUUUGGUGUUAUGGGGAGUUAGGACUGUUACUUUGAAAAAAUUAGAGUGUUUAAAGCAGGCUUUAGCUUGAAUACAUUAGCAUGGAAUAAUGAAAUAGGACGUUCGAACCUAUUUUGUUGGUUUCUAGGAUCAACGUA